rnacentral:tRNA from 1 species
GCACCCGUAGCUCAGCUGGAUAGAGCGCUGCCCUCCGGAGGCAGAGGUCAGAGGUUCAAAUCCUCUCGGGUGCGCCA